rnacentral:rRNA from 1 species
UACGUAGGGGGCGAGCGUUGUCCGGAGUUACUGGGCGUAAAGCGCUUGUAGGCGGUCCACCAAGUUUGGGGUGACAGUUGCCGACUUAAUCGGCAAAGUGCCUCAAAGACUGGCGGACUUGAGGGCCACAGAGGGACAUGGAACUCCAGGUGUAGUGGUGAAAUGCGUAGAUAUCGGGAAGAACACCAAAGGCGAAGGCAGUGUCCUGGGUGGUACCUGACGCUGAGAAGCGAAAGCCAGGGGAGCGAACGGG